rnacentral:lncRNA from 1 species
UCGCCAGCGUCUCUCGGCCACGCCUCGUUUCGGUCUCACUGGCGCGUGGGGUCCGGUUGCAACCUGCGCCAAAAUCUUCAUGGCCGUCGCAACCACAGGCCGAGAUCCUUGCCUCAUACUUGUUCCUAGACACUAUAAGAAUCUCCAUGCCUCUGAAUCCUCAAUUUUGAACCUAUAUUCGAGAACGCCAUAAGCAAUCCCACCGCUGCAGCGAGAAAGAACAGAGAGAUGGGAAGCUUCCGCCGCCAUUGUUGGAACCGGGCCGCCAUGAAGGGGGAAAUGUUCCUGCGUGCUUUCAUCGUCCGGUUCACUCAAUAGACGGUGAGAUCUCCCCUCCGUGCUCCGUCGUGUUUUUCACUUUUGCGCGCGCGGAACGGGCGUCCUAGGCGCCGUCGGGGCCCCGCCACCAGGCUGGCGCGUGCGUGCCAGUUCCGUGAGGUAGAAGAUGACUUGAUGGCCGUCGAUCUAGCCUUGUACGGUAGAUAGUAGAUGUACUUAGUGUUUCAAUCAGAUUGAUGUGCAAUCGAUGAUGCCAGAUCGUACGCGUAAGAUUAGAGCUCGGUCAUUUAAAACCUAGGUCGUCGAUCUAGGCACCAACAGAUGGGAUUGACUUCAACUCGUAAUGUUUCGCCAAUCUAAUUCGGGCCCUUGGAUUCCGAUCGGGCGGCAUGGGAGUCUGGGUGGGCUUCGAUCUAAUCUGGCGCGUAGAAGUUUGAUCGAACGGCUAUGAUUCAUGCAUACCUCUUCGGUCAUAGAUAUUUGCAAAAGAGACCCAGUAUUUUUAGUUUAUCAACCCGCAGUCCUAAGCUAUAGAAAGAUCAUCACUGUCAGGUCUUGGAAUUAACAAAACAGACCCUGAGCUUCUCUAGAAUUGUAGCCGGAGCCCAGAGAUUAAAUAAAACGAGUAUAUUAAUAUAGAAAAUGGUUUUUAGUAUAAAAUAAUUCCAGAAACUUGUUUAACUCAUAUUUAAUUCAUUAUAACACCUUUUUGAUCCAUUCCAGUUGCAUUAAAUUCGUAAUAAUAUUUAUUUAUCAUCUGGUAACCCUGCUUUGUCAUGAAAUAUAGGUUAAAAGUAUGCACUUAAUUUAUUCCAUAUCUAAUAUUUAAAACUUCGGAAAAUCAUAACUCUUUAAUCGUAACUCCGAAUUGAGUGAUUCUCGAACCUAGGAUCUCGUUACGAUGCGUAGAUCAUUACUAUUCAAUAUGUUCUCUUGAUUAGUGUGAUGUUAACUUUGCCUAUACCAUGUUUGUUUGUAUUGCUACGAGUAGCAGCAAGGUUACGAGUCAGUUGAAGACCAAGUUGGUACCUAGGAAUCUCG